ACUCCUACGGGAGGCAGCAGUGGGGAAUAUUGCACAAUGGGCGCAAGCCUGAUGCAGCCAUGCCGCGUGUAUGAAGAAGGCCUUCGGGUUGUAAAGUACUUUCAGCAGUGAGGAAGGCGGGUACGUUAAUAGCGUGCUCGUUUGACGUUAGCUGCAGAAGAAGCACCGGCUAACUCCGUGCCAGCAGCCGCGGUAAUACGGAGGGUGCGAGCGUUAAUCGGAAUUACUGGGCGUAAAGCGCAUGCAGGUGGUUUGUUAAGUCAGAUGUGAAAGCCCGGGGGCUCAACCUCGGAAUUGCAUUUGAAACUGGCAGACUAGAGUACUGUAGAGGGGGGUAGAAUUUCAGGUGUAGCGGUGAAAUGCGUAGAGAUCUGAAGGAAUACCGGUGGCGAAGGCGGCCCCCUGGACAGAUACUGACACUCAGAUGCGAAAGCGUGGGGAGCAAACAGGAUUAGAUACCCU
rnacentral:rRNA from 1 species